GACGAACGCUGGCGGCGUGCUUAACACAUGCAAGUCGAACGAUGAAUCUAGAGCUUGCUCUGGUGGAUUAGUGGCGAACGGGUGAGUAACACGUGAGUAACCUGCCCCGAACUCUGGGAUAACUUCUGGAAACGGUAGCUAAUACCGGAUAUGACCAAUGAAGGCAUCUUCUGUUGGUGGAAAGAAUUUCGGUUCGGGAUGGACUGGCGGCCUAUCAGCUUGUUGGUGCGGUAACGGCUCACCAAGGCGACGAAGGGUAGCCGGCCUGAGAGGACGAUAAGGCAGACUGGGAUUGAGACACGGCCCAGACUCCUACGGGCGGCAGCAGUGGGGAAUUUUGGGCAAUGGUGUCAACCCUGAUCCAGCAAUGCCGCGUGAGUGAAGAAGGCCUUCGGGUUGUAAAGCUCUUUUGUCAGGGAAGAAACACCGGCUCUAACACAGUCCGGGAAUGACGGUACCUGAAGAAUAAGCACCGGCUAACUACGUGCCAGCCGCCGCCGUAA
rnacentral:rRNA from 1 species